GGGCGAAUGGUCUAGGGGUAUGAUAUUCGCUUUGCAUCAACGACUCGAAUAGCGUCUAGCCUGUUCGUCGGAUGUAAUGCUUGCGAAGGGUCCGGGGUUCAAAUCCCCGUUCGUCCA